rnacentral:rRNA from 1 species
GGGUUGUGAGGUUAAGCGACUAAGCGUACACGGUGGAUGCCCUGGCAGUCAGAGGCGAUGAAGGACGUGCUAAUCUGCGAUAAGCGCCGGUAAGGUGAUAUGAACCGUUAUAACCGGCGAUUUCCGAAUGGGGAAACCCAGUGUGACUCGUCACACUAUCAUUAACUGAAUCCAUAGGUUAAUGAGGCGAACCGGGGGAACUGAAACAUCUAAGUACCCCGAGGAAAAGAAAUCAACCGAGAUUCCCCCAGUAGCGGCGAGCGAACGGGGAGGAGCCCAGAGCCUGAAUCAGCAUGUGUGUUAGUGGAAGCGUCUGGAAAGGCGCGCGAUACAGGGUGACAGCCCCGUACACAAAAGCGCAUGUGCUGUGAGCUCGAUGAGUAGGGCGGGACACGUGGUAUCCUGUCUGAAUAUGGGGGGACCAUCCUCCAAGGCUAAAUACUCCUGACUGACCGAUAGUGAACCAGUACCGUGAGGGAAAGGCGAAAAGAACCCCGGCGAGGGGAGUGAAAAAGAACCUGAAACCGUGUACGUACAAGCAGUGGGAGCACAGGUUUACCUGUGUGACUGCGUACCUUUUGUAUAAUGGGUCAGCGACUUAUAUUCUGUAGCAAGGUUAACCGAAUAGGGGAGCCGGAGGGAAACCGAGUCUUAAUUGGGCGUUAAGUUGCAGGGUAUAGACCCGAAACCCGGUGAUCUAGCCAUGGGCAGGUUGAAGGUUGGGUAACACUAACUGGAGGACCGAACCGACUAAUGUUGAAAAAUUAGCGGAUGACCUGUGGCUGGGGGUGAAAGGCCAAUCAAACCGGGAGAUAGCUGGUUCUCCCCGAAAGCUAUUUAGGUAGCGCCUCGUGAAUUCAUCUCCGGGGGUAGAGCACUGUUUCGGCUAGGGGGCCAUCCCGGCUUACCAACCCGAUGCAAACUGCGAAUACCGGAGAAUGUUAUCACGGGAGACACACGGCGGGUGCUAACGUCCGUCGUGAAGAGGGAAACAACCCAGACCGCCAGCUAAGGUCCCAAAGUCAUGGUUAAGUGGGAAACGAUGUGGGAAGGCCCAGACAGCCAGGAUGUUGGCUUAGAAGCAGCCAUCAUUUAAAGAAAGCGUAAUAGCUCACUGGUCGAGUCGGCCUGCGCGGAAGAUGUAACGGGGCUAAACCAUGCACCGAAGCUGCGGCAGCGAACGUAUCACUUAAAGCGAUUCAGCGGGUUACGAUUGACGGAGCGAAGCGACGUCAAAGCGUAUACAAAGUCGAGUCGGUUUAAGGAUACGUUCGUUGGGUAGGGGAGCGUUCUGUAAGCCUGCGAAGGUGGCCUGUGAGGGUUGCUGGAGGUAUCAGAAGUGCGAAUGCUGACAUAAGUAACGAUAAAGCGGGUGAAAAGCCCGCUCGCCGGAAGACCAAGGGUUCCUGUCCAACGUUAAUCGGGGCAGG